rnacentral:rRNA from 1 species
AGACGGGGGGUGCUAGCGUUGUUCGGAAUUACUGGGCGUAAAGCGUACGUAGGCGGACUAAUAAGUAAGAUGUGAAAUCCCAGGGCUCAACCCUGGAACUGCAUUUUAAACUGUUAGUCUUGAGUUAUGGAGAGGUAAGUGGAAUUCCUAGUGUAGAGGUGAAAUUCGUAGAUAUUAGGAGGAACACCAGAGGCGAAGGCGGCUUACUGGACAUAUACUGACGCUGAGGUACGAAAGUGUGGGGAGCAAACGGGAUUAGAAACCCCAGUAGUCC